rnacentral:rRNA from 1 species
CUGAAGUCCAGCUCGCUGGGUGGAUGAGUGGCGAACGGGUGAGUAACACGUGAGUAACCUGCCCCCUUCUUUGGGAUAACGCCCGGAAACGGGUGCUAAUACUGGAUAUUCACUUGCCUUCGCAUGGGGGUUGGUGGAAAGGUUUUUUCUGGUGGGGGAUGGGCUCGCGGCCUAUCAGCUUGUUGGUGGGGUGAUGGCCUACCAAGGCUUUGACGGGUAGCCGGCCUGAGAGGGUGACCGGUCACAUUGGGACUGAGAUACGGCCCAGACUCCUACGGGAGGCAGCAGUGGGGAAUAUUGCACAAUGGGCGAAAGCCUGAUGCAGCGACGCCGCGUGAGGGAUGGAGGCCUUCGGGUUGUAAACCUCUUUCGCUCAUGGUCAAGCCGCAACAGUGGUUGUGGUGAGGGUAGUGGGUAAAGAAGCGCCGGCUAACUACGUGCCAGCAGCCGCGGUAAUACGUAGGGCGCGAGCGUUGUCCGGAAUUAUUGGGCGUAAAGGGCUUGUAGGCGGUUGGUCGCGUCUGCCGUGAAAUCCUCUGGCUUAACUGGGGGCGUGCGGUGGGUACGGGCUGACUUGAGUGCGGUAGGGGAGACUGGAACUCCUGGUGUAGCGGUGGAAUGCGCAGAUAUCAGGAAGAACACC